GGCGGCGNNCCUAAUACAUGCAAGUCGAGCGGAUUCAUCUUUCGGGAUGAGUAGCGGCGGACGGGUGAGUAACACGUAGGUAACCUGCCUAUAAGAUCGGGAUAACUAUCGGAAACGAUAGCUAAGACCGGAUAACUGGUUUUCUCGCAUGAGAGACUAUGAAACACGGAGCAAUCUGUGGCUUAUAGAUGGGCCUGCGGCGCAUUACUAGUUGGUAGGGUAAUGGCCUACCAAGGCGACGAUGCGUAGCCGACCUGAGAGGGUGAACGGCCACACUGGGACUGAGACACGGCCCAGACUCCUACGGGAGCAGCAGUAGGGAAUCUUCCGCAAUGGACGCAAGUCUGACGGAGCAACGCCGCGUGAGUGAUGAAGGUUUUCGGAUCGUAAAGCUCUGUUGCCCUAGACGAACAGCAUCAGGAGUAACUGCCUGGUGUGUGACGGUAUAGGAGAAGAAAGCCCCGGCUAACUACGUGCCAGCAGCCGCGGUAAUACAGAGGUCCCAAGCGUUGUUCGGAUUCAUUGGGCGUAAAGGGUGCGUAGGUGGCGCCGUAAGUGGGGUGUGAAAUUCGGAGCUUAACUCCGAAACUGCAUUCCAUACUGCGGUGCUUGAGGACUGGAAGGAGACUGGAAUUUACGGUGUAGCAGUGAAAUGCGUAGAGAUCGUAAGGAAGACCAGUGGCGAAGGCGGGUCUCUGGACAGUUCCUGACACUGAGGCACGAAGGCCAGGGGAGCAAACGGGAUUAGAUACCCCGGUAGUCCUGGNAGUAAACGGUGCACGUUUGGUGUGGGANGAUUCGACCCCUUUCUGCGCCGGAGCUAACGCGUUAAACGUGNCGCCUGGNNNUACNGUCGCANANUAAACUCAANAAAUUGACGGGNGNCCGC
rnacentral:rRNA from 1 species